GACGAACGCUGGCGGCGUGCUUAACACAUGCAAGUCGAGCGGUAAGGCCCUUUCGGGGGUACACGAGCGGCGAACGGGUGAGUAACACGUGGGUGACCUGCCCUCAGCUCUGGGAUAAGCCUGGGAAACUGGGUCUAAUACCGGAUAUGACUCCAUGACGCAUGUUGUGGGGUGGAAAGCCUUGUGCGGCUGAGGAUGGGCCCGCGGCCUAUCAGCUUGUUGGUGGGGGAUGGCCUACCAAGGCGACGACGGGUAGCCGGCCUGAGAGGGCGACCGGCCACACUGGGACUGAGACACGGCCCAGACUCCUACGGGAGGCAGCAGUGGGGAAUCUUGCGCAAUGGGCGAAAGCCUGACGCAGCGACGCCGCGUGAGGGAUGACGGCCUGGU
rnacentral:rRNA from 1 species